rnacentral:lncRNA from 1 species
AAAAUAAAAUGUCUCAAAAUGAAUAAAGGUUGGGCGCAAAAGUGCUCGAAAAAUUAAAAUGAAUGCACCAAAAUGAUCAGUGCGAAAUAAACUUAUUGAAAAAAUACAGCAAUUCUUUUAAUUUUGAAAAAAAAAUUGAUCGGUUAAACAGGCUCGAGCUGAUCAAAAAGUGGCCGAAAAAUUAGCUGAAAAAUAAAUCGAGCAUACCAGAUUAAAC